GACGAACGCUGGCGGCGUGCCUAACACAUGCAAGUCGAACGGGACUUGAGGGGCUUGCUCCUUAAGUUUAGUGGCGAACGGGUGAGUAACGCGUGAGAAACCUACCUUUCAGUGGGGGACAACAGUUGGAAACGACUGCUAAUACCGCAUGAUGUAUCGAGGGGGCAUCCCCUUGAUACCAAAGCUUUAUGUGCUGAAAGAUGGUCUCGCGUCUGAUUAGCUAGUUGGCGGGGUAACGGCCACCAAGGCGACGAUCAGUAGCCGGUCUGAGAGGAUGAACGGCCACAUUGGGACUGAGAUACGGCCCAGACUCCUACGGGAGGCAGCAGUGGGGAAUAUUGGGCAAUGGGGGAAACCCUGACCCAGCAACGCCGCGUGAAGGAAG
rnacentral:rRNA from 1 species